GGUAGAACCAACACAAUACUACCCGCCAGAGAACUACAAGUGAAAAGCUAGAAACUCUAAGGACUUGGCGGUGCCUUAAACCAACCUAGAGGAGCCUGUCCUAUAAUCGAUACUCCACGCUAAACCUUACCACUUCUUGCCAAUCAGCCUAUAUACCGCCGUCGUCCAGCCUACCUCGUGAGAGCCCCACAGUAGGCAAAACAGUUAACAACUAAUACGUCAGGUCAAGGUGUAGCACAUGAAGUGGAAGCGAUGGGCUACAUUUUCUGCCACAGAAAACACGAACGCCACAAUGAAACUUGUGCCCGAAGGUGGAUUUAGCAGUAAGAUAUAUAAGAAACAAUACCUUAAACCCUGCUCUGAGGCGCGC
rnacentral:rRNA from 1 species